AGGACGAACGCUGGCGGCGUGCUUAACACAUGCAAGUCGAGCGAGGCCCCUCCUUCGGGAGGGUGUCCUAGCGGCGAACGGGUGAGUAACACGUGGGCAACCUGCCCUCAGCACUGGGAUAACUCCGGGAAACCGGGGCUAAUACCGGAUACGACCUCGGCGGGCAUCCGCUGAGGUGGAAAGUGUCAGUGGCUGAGGAUGGGCCCGCGGCCUAUCAGCUUGUUGGUGGGGUAACGCCCACCAAGGCGACGACGGGUAGCC
rnacentral:rRNA from 1 species